AGCUCCAAUAGCGUAUAUUAAAGUUGUUGCAGUUAAAAAGCUCGUAGUCUGACCCUUGGCGGGUGCUGAGCGUCCGUGGCGCAAGUCACGUGCACGCCAAGCACUCUUGCCAUGUACUUUGGAGGAACGCGUGUGCUUUUCAUUAAGCGUGCGUCGGGAUUCCAAUAGUUUACUUUGAGAAAAAUAGAGUGUUCAAAGCAGGCAACUUCGCCUUGAAUACAUUAGCAUGGGAUAAUGAAAUAGGACAUUGGUUCUAUUUUGAUGGUUUAAGGACCGAUGUAAUGAUUAAUAGGGACAGUUGGGGACAUUCAUAUUCCAUGGCUAGAGGUGAAAUUCUUGGAUUCAUGGAAGAUGAACUACUGCGAAAGCAUUUGUCAAAGAUGUUUUCAUUGAUCAAGAA
rnacentral:rRNA from 1 species